GCAAGUCGAGCGGAAACGAUCCUAGCUUGCUAGGAGGCGUCGAGCGGCGGACGGGUGAGUAACGCGUGAGAAUCUACCCAUGAGUGGGGGACAACCCGGGGAAACUCGGGCUAAUACCGCAUACGCCCUACGGGGUAAAGCAGGGGACCUUCGGGCCUUGCGCUGAUGGAUGAGCUCGCGUCGGAUUAGCUUGUUGGUGAGGUAAAGGCUCACCAAGGCGACGAUCCGUAGCUGGUCUGAGAGGAUGAUCAGCCACACCGGGACUGAGACACGGCCCGGACUCCUACGGGAGGCAGCAGUGGGGAAUCUUGGACAAUGGGGGCAACCCUGAUCCAGCCAUGCCGCGUGUGUGAAGAAGGCCUUCGGGUUGUAAAGCACUUUCAGCAGGGAGGAAGGCUUACCCCUAAUACGGGUGAGUACUUGACGUUACCUGCAGAAGAAGCACCGGCUAAUUUCGUGCCAGCAGCCGCGGUAAUACGAAAGGUGCAAGCGUUAAUCGGAAUUACUGGGCGUAAAGCGCGCGUAGGCGGUGUGUUAAGUCGGAUGUGAAAGCCCAGGGCUCAGCCUUGGAAUUGCAUCCGAUACUGGCACGCUAGAGUGCA
rnacentral:rRNA from 1 species